UUUACAAAAAAAGAGAAAAAGAGAUAGAGACUGAAGACUCAGAGUUGCUAAAUCAGUUUAAGAAACUCUAAUAAAUUACAAAGAGGAAUCAGAGAUUACGAGAUAAACCAUGACAAGAGGGAUACUUGAGGUGUUGCUUAUUGCUGGUUGUGAUUUAAAGAAGGCCCAUUUCUUCGUUGAACAGGUUCUGUAUGGUGAAUUCAUAAAUUGUAGGGAAAAGGAAUCCUUAUGUAAUAAUAAAGUAUGAUUAUCAUAGUCGGACGAGCAAGAUUGCCCAAGGAAAAGGACCGCAUUCACGAAGGAAGAGGGUAUGGGACGAAACAUUUACAUUUGAUGUCGAUUAUCCAGAUGCUGAACUUAAAAAAGACCAUGAGUUGAAAAUCUCAUUCACGGUCAUGGAGAGAAGUCAUAGUUGUUGCUUCAUUAAGGACACAUUCAUUGGAGAAGCGACGGUUUACAUAAAGGACGUACUGUCGCUAGGAGCAGAAGUGGGAAAAGCUGCAAUAAGACCGACAGAAUACCGAGUUGUCCUCCGUAACAAGGUAUACCAUGGAGAAAUUCGAGUGGCCGUAUCAUUUCGAAAGGUAGAAGAUGAGAAAGAUCAAGAUGUGGAGGACGGAAAGAAAGUUCAAUCACUGAUAAAUGAGUGAAUACUAAUUAACUAUAUAAUUUACUCAUCAGGUAG